UACGUAGGGUGCGAGCGUUGUCCGGAAUUAUUGGGCGUAAAGAGCUCGUAGGCGGUGUGUCACGUCGGCCGUGAAAACCUGCAGCUUAACUGUGGGCGUGCGGUCGAUACGGGCAUCACUGGAGUUCGGCAGGGGAGACUGGAAUUCCUGGUGUAGCGGUGAAAUGCGCAGAUAUCAGGAGGAACACCGGUGGCGAAGGCGGGUCUCUGGGAAACAACUGACGCUGAGGAACGAAAGCGUGGGUAGCAAACAGG
rnacentral:rRNA from 1 species